CGUGUACCAUAUUUCUAUAAUACAACAAAUUGUUCAAAGGUGAGUCCUAACAAUUAACUUUAAAAAAUGAAUAUAUGUAUCAAGAUAAUAUUUUAAACACAUCAAUCAGCUAAAGCUAGCAUCUAUUAGAAACCUCAUUUGCUAUCCCCUUAGCUACAUGUAACUGUUCUGAUACAUGGCCGGUUUAAGUUCAUUCGCAUCAUCUCCUGAUUUUGUAAGUGAUACGUUUUUGUAAGCUUGACCUCCACAUUAAUUUAAGCCACAUGUAUGCUUUCCUUGUUCAAACCAGCAGAAACUUCUGAAUGUUUCUGGACCUUAAGUUUCCCAUUUGUAUUUUAUUUGUUCUCAUCAGUAGCUUUGACUUCCUAUACCUACAAUUGAGACAAACAAAGAUGCAUCAUUUGUUUUAGCCUACUAAUAAUGUAAAAAAUUUAUAUCGCUAUGUCAGCUCCAAAUAUAUAAUGUCAGAUGAAUACUAUGAAGUUGGAGGGAUUCAAAUACAUGAAAGCACUAAUUGUUGGGGCAUAUACCUAAGGGAGGAAAUUCAUUGCACCUUGGAAGAGUACGAAAAUGAUACGGUUAAGUGUUUUCAAAGCACUAAAAGAUGAUCCUAAACAACGACUGUAUAUUGGUCGGAAAAAUCUAUUUUGCACCUUUGAUGUCGAGGUCACCAUUCUUCACAC
rnacentral:lncRNA from 1 species